rnacentral:misc_RNA from 1 species
GAUGAAGAACGUAGCGAAAUGCGAUAAGUAAUGUGAAUUGCAGAAUUCAGUGAAUCAUCGAAUCUUUGAACGCACCUUGCACCCUUUGGCCAUUCCGAAGGGCAUGCCUGUUUGAGUAUCAUGAACACCUCAACUCCUCAUGGUCUUCUAUGAUGAGCUUGGACUUUGGGGGCUUGCUGGCCCAUUUGGUCAGCUCCUCUCAAAUGAAUCAGCCUACCAGUGUUUGGUGGCACCACAGGUGUGAUAACAAUCUACGCUUGAGGUUUUCCACCAGGCAACCUUCAGUAAUUGGGGUUCACUGGGGCUCACAAAUGUCUUUCUUCAGUGAGGACAGCUCUUUGAAUGUUUGAUCUCAAAUCAGGUAGGACUACCCGCUGAACUUAAGCAUAUCAAUAAGCGGAGGA